AUUGAACGCUGGCGGCAGGCCUAACACAUGCAAGUCGAACGGUAACAGGGAUCAGCUUGCUGAUUCGCUGACGAGUGGCGGACGGGUGAGUAAUGUCUGGGAAACUGCCUGAUGGAGGGGGAUAACUACUGGAAACGGUAGCUAAUACCGCAUAACGUCGCAAGACCAAAGAGGGGGACCUUCGGGCCUCUUGCCAGCGGAUGUGCCCAGAUGGGAUUAGCUAGUAGGUGGGGUAACGUCUCACCUAGGCGACGAUCCCUAGCUGGUCUGAGGGGAUGACCAGCCACACUGGAACUUAGACACGGUCCAGACUCCUACGGGAGGCAGCAGUGGGGAAUAGUGCACAAUGGGCGCAAGCCUGAUGCAGCCAUGCCGCGUGUAUGAAGAAGGCCUUCGGGUUGUUAAGUACUUUCACGGGGGAGGAAGGGAGUAAAGUUAAUACCUUUGCUCAUUGACGUUACCGGCAGAAGAAGCACCGGCUAACUACGUG
rnacentral:rRNA from 1 species